rnacentral:rRNA from 1 species
GAAUAUUGGACAAUGGGGGGAACCCUGAUCCAGCCAUGCCGCGUGUGUGAAGAAGGCCUUUUGGUUGUACAGCACUUUAAGCGAGGAGGAGGCCACUCUCGUUAAUACCUAGAGAUAGUGGCCGUUACUCGCAGCAUACGCACCGGCUUACUCGGUCCCAGCAGCCGCGGUAAUACCGAGGGUGCAAGCGUUAAUCGGAUUUACUGGGCGUAAAGCGCGCGUAGGUGGCCAAUUAAGUCAAAUGUGAAAUCCCCGAGCUUAACUUGGGAAUUGCAUUCGAUACUGGUUGGCUAGAGUAUGGGAGAGGAUGGUAGAAUUCCAGGUGUAGCGGUGAAAUGCGUAGAGAUCUGGAGGAAUGCCGAUGGCGAAGGCAGCCAUCUGGCCUAAUACUGACACUGAGGUGCGAAAGCAUGGGGAGCAAAC